UCCGGUCCAUUACAUCCUUAGCCACUGUGUCUCGGGGCAGGACUGGUUACUGUUGAUGAUCAAGGAGUGUUGAGGACAGGACCUGGUACAGGCCAUGCUAUUUUGGAGGGUUAUGCCAUAGACAUUUGUGGUAUCUACCAAACACUGCUGAACAUUGUGGAGGUAAGAGUGGAGCAUGUGUCCAUUCCUCCCGCUGAUAGGCUCCUCACUAAUUGGUCUGAAGUCUCAUAAUAUACAGCCAGAGCGGAUCUGAACACAGCUCAACGCAAUCUAGAGCAGUGGGGAGGCCAUACAUCCUGAGGCAGAGCUACUGCGCUCGCUACACUUUGGCGCCCCCUAUCCAGAGAUGAGAAUACUGCAGGCUCUCUUUAAUGCAGCACCC